GCUCCUUCUCCAGCACUAUGUCUGCCUGAAUUUGGUCAUGUCCCACCAUGAUGAUAAUGGACUCAACCUCUGACAUUGUAAACCACCCAAUUAUUGGAGAAUAUUAUUUUAAGGAUUCCAAAAGCCUGAGAAACAAAGUGGGGGGAGAAAAUCCCAGCAUUUCACAAAGCAUCUAAAACAGAGCUGAUCGAACUGAUGGAUCCUUAACACAACUGAGCUGCUGGAAGAGUGGGUACGGGCUGGCAGCUCUGUGUGACAAACCCUGCCCUGACCUCUAGCCUCUUCUGUGCAACACUCCCACCAACAGUUCCUGUGGUCGACCAGUUGGAGAGAUGUAGAGACCCAGCUCUGCUUUCCUGCUUCUCGGCAGAUGGAUCACACCACUAGAUGGGAAAACUGAAACUUACAGGGGGAAGAACCACGUAGCUAGCAACUUUGUGUGCCAAGGCUCACCGUGCAGAACUGGCUGGGAGCUUUCUGAAACAUCUUCCAUUAGAUUCUGUCUGGGAGGAAACAGCCCCUGCAUAAAGUCUUCCGUGGAAAAAAACAUGAAGAUUUCACUGGCUUUAUCUGCAUGGCCUGGUUGCCUGCAGGACUUUACAGUUCCUACUACAGCCCAAGAGAAGCUGACAACUAGAACGAAUGGCAAAGAUUUCCCCACCACUGCUAAUUGCAAGGCAGAGGAAUUUUGCAUGCUGCUACCCAAGAAAAUGAGCAUUUUCAUUACCCACCGUAGCUUUAAUGAAUGACCUAAAGUAUAGCCACAGAAAUGCUACCUCAAUUGCAAUGCCUAACGGCACAUUUUUCUCCAGAAAAUCUAAAAGAUUUUUUGUGUGUGUGAGCUGGAGGUUUGAAUCUUUUUUAAAAUCAUGAAAAAAAAAAAGUGCGUGACAUGUUGUCUGCUAAAGUAGAUUUCAACUGUGGCUUUUCAGCUAGGGGACCCAGACUGGUGUGUUCUUGAAUAAAAAUUGAAUCUGACCUCAGUCCCCAGAAGAUCACAUGGAGAUCUUACAGCAAAAUAGUCCAAGAUACAGGGUUCUCCGUACCAGGUAUUUGCUCUACUCUGCAGCCCUGCCAGCAGUGCUCUUCAGACCCAAGAACAUCUGCUCGAAUAACUCUGCUGGGGCCCAGAGAGAUUGCCUGGUGGGUAUGAGCACCUGCUGCUUUUCCAGAGGAUCGGAGUUGGGGUCCCAGGUCAACCAUGUCAGGUGGCUCACAACCACCUAUAAUUCACCUUCUGUAGGAUCUUAUCCCUCUGUGACACAC